rnacentral:rRNA from 1 species
CAGCCGCCGCGGGAAUACGUAGGGUGCGAGCGUUGUCCGGAAUUACUGGGCGUAAAGGGCUCGUAGGUGGUUUGUCGCGUCGUCUGUGAAAUUCUGGGGCUUAACUCCGGGCGUGCAGGCGAUACGGGCAUAACUUGAGUGCUGUAGGGGUAACUGGAAUUCCUGGUGUAGCGGUGAAAUGCGCAGAUAUCAGGAGGAACACCGAUGGCGAAGGCAGGUUACUGGGCAGUUACUGACGCUGAGGAGCGAAAGCAUGGGUAGCGAACAGGAUUAGAUACCCGAGUAGUCCCUGUCUCUUAUA